GUGUGUGUGUAUACAGUGAGGGGAGAGGUGUGUAUACAGUGAGGGGAGAGGUGUGUGUGCAGGGGUUGGAGAGGUGUGUAUACAGUGAGGGGAGAGGUGUGUGUGCAGGGGUUGGAGAGGUGUGUAUACAGUGAGGGGAG